AACGAACGCUGGCGGCAUGCCUAACACAUGCAAGUCGAACGAAGCCUUCGGGCUUAGUGGCGCACGGGUGCGUAACGCGUGGGAAUCUGCCCUUGGGUUCGGAAUAACAGUUAGGAAUGACUGCUAAUACCGGAUGAUGACGUAAGUCCAAAGAUUUAUCGCCCAAGGAUGAGCCCGCGUAGGAUUAGCUUGUUGGUGAGGUAAAAGCUCACCAAGGCGACGAUCCUUAGCUGGUCUGAGAGGAUGAUCAGCCACACUGGGACUGAGACACGGCCCAGACUCCUACGGGAGGCAGCAGUGGGGAAUAUUGGACAAUGGGCGAAAGCCUGAUCCAGCAAUGCCGCGUGAGUGAUGAAGGCCUUAGGGUUGUAAAGCUCUUUUACCCGGGAUGAUAAUGACAGUACCGGGAGAAUAAGCUCCGGCUAACUCCGUGCCAGCCGCCGCCGUAACAC
rnacentral:rRNA from 1 species